rnacentral:rRNA from 1 species
UAAGGAAUAUUGGUCAAUGGGCGGAAGCCUGAACCAGCCAUGCCGCGUGCAGGAAGACGGCCCUACGGGUUGUAAACUGCUUUUGUACCGGAAUAAACCUUUGGUCGUGACCAGAGCUGAAUGUACGGUAAGAAUAAGGAUCGGCUAACUCCGUGCCAGCAGCCGCGGUAAUACGGAGGAUCCAAGCGUUAUCCGGAUUUAUUGGGUUUAAAGGGUGCGUAGGUGGCCUGUUAAGUCAGGGGUGAAAGACGGUAGCUUAACUAUCGCAGUGCCUUUGAUACUGACGGGCUUGAAUACACUAGAGGUAGGCGGAAUGUGACAAGUAGCGGUGAAAUGCAUAGAUAUGUCACAGAACACCAAUUGCGAAGGCAGCUUACUAUGGUGUCAUUGACACUGAGGCACGAAAGCGUGGGGAUCAAACA